rnacentral:rRNA from 1 species
GACGUAGGGUCCAAGCGUUGUCCGGAUUUACUGGGCGUAAAGAGCGCGUAGGCGGUCUGUUAAGUGUAGAGUGAAAUCUCUGGGCUCACCCCAGAAACUGCUCUGCAUACUGGCAGACUUGAGGGAUGCAGAGGUUUGUGGAAUUCCUGGUGUAGCGGUGAAAUGCGUUGAUAUCAGGAGGAACACCAAUGGCGAAGGCAGCAAACUGGGCAUCAUCUGACGCUGAGGCGCGAAAGCGUGGGUAGCAAACAGG